rnacentral:misc_RNA from 1 species
AAUUAUUUUUUAUACUUAAACUACUCUAAUCCUCCUCGCCUUAUUUCUCUCUUAUCCUCCCUUAUUUCUCCAUCUCCAUGUUUUUUCUUCUCUACACCUACACCCUUCUCCCCCUCAUUCUCUAUUCAUUUUCGUCUAUUGAUAAAAAUGGUAUAAGCUGUCUACAUAAAAAAUUAAUCAUUUUUCUUAAAUUUUUAAGCAAUCAAGGAAAAUUAUUUUCUAGUAGAGAAAACAUAAAAAUAAUGUCCAAGGAAUUGGAAAUUCAAAAAAAUGUAAAUUCAGAUUUAGUCUUCACGUAACAAAAUUUCCAUUUUUAUCCAAGAAAGUAUUUUUUAAAAUACA